CUCCUGGCAGCGAGAAUCCAAAGCCUCCCGUCUGUCUCCCUCUUCUCUCGGAGCGGCGGAAUUAAAUAAAAAGUAUGAAGGGAAGAUGAAGAGACGAAAGCACUGCGUUUAUUCAAGAUGAGGCUCCGGGUUGGUUGGGAAGCACAGUGAGAAGCCGCCCCUCUCAACAAGGUUUCGGAUUGAUCGCUGCGUUAUCGUACGGCCAGCUGAAGCCAAACUAAAAGGAAAAACUACUCUGAGUCCUGCCGGUCUCUUUGCUGAUGAAAGCGAAAUACCCAACAAGAGGAAUCGGAGUUGAGAGACGGAUGAAGAGGGAGACGGGAGAAAAGGAGUUGUGGGAGGAGUUUGCUUGCUGUAUUUCUUCCCCUGAACUUCAGCUGUUAUCAUAUGGCAAUUUUAUUUGCUGAAGGUGCGGUACCAAAGAAAUUAGGUUUGUUUUAGGUUCAAUUAUAUAAUUUUCCAAUCUCACGUUACACACACCAAUGUAAGACAGCAAGUGUUUCAUACCUUCUUAACCUUUCCGUGGAAAAGUCCAUUUUAAAUGAAUAAACACUUCUGAGUUUGCCCGCAAGUAAAACACAGGACGGAGCACUUUGGGGCAGCUGCUGCAGCUAAAUGAAUAGGGAUCUAUCUAUCUAGACUCUGCAUUUCCAAAACAAGCACGAUCCAUGGUCACAAUGGCCACAAUGAAACACAAGUUGAAAAGAAGAACUGUGACUUGGUUUGGGAAAGAACAGUUAAAACGGUUAAAAUGACGAAAUGCAAACUUCACGUCGCUAUAAUCGCAUGUACCCUAGGACAGGUUACUUCCUGCUCUGGCACUGAGCGUUGACAUUGGAUUUAAAAUGAGCAACAUGGUACAUUAUGA